AUUCAAGAUGGAGGUGUGAAUCUGAAAUUUUUUCCUGGCCUUUGUUCGUUUUGGGGUUUUUUUCUUAGCCGCUAGAACUCUGCAUUAUGAAAUUAUUGGCUUGUGUUCUGAUUUUCGGACUACUUUCUGUCUGUACAGAUGCAUGGCGCGCUCGUGCUCGUGUGCGUGUGCCACGAGUCCCGUCAAUCCCACGAAUCCCAAGCACUCGAAUCCCGCAAAUCCCACGAAUCCCACCCAUAAAACGAGAUGUGGUUCAAGACGCACAGUAAGAUGAACUGUGACCUCAGAAUAACGAUUUGACCUGGCUAUGUCCUCGGAAAAACGGUAUUGAUAGUGAUAAAUAUUUGACCCAUGACAUCGGAAUAACGACCUGGCUAUAUGUCCCCGGAUUAACGACAUUGAAAUUACAAUUAAUUUAUAUGAUAAAGCUGUAUUGAUCAUCUUGACUGCAUCAAAAUAAAUCAAAUAUUAUAUUUGACAUUAUGUGUGUUUUUGUUAGUUAUGUUUAUGCAACAAUUACGUUUUGGGAGAUGAGGGGGGAUGGAUGGCUUAUUGA